CGAGACUCCGCGGGAAAAGCAUCUCUGCUAGAUGAAUGAGGAGCUGUCGGGCUGAGGCAGUUUCCUCAAGAGUGAAGGCGAGCGUGUGCUAAGGUCACGCCACCGACCUCCGUUUCCUUUACCCUUCUCUGUCACCAAACGAUAUUCCUGUCCAGUAACAAAGUGCAAGUUGUUUCCCUCAGACCCACUCCCAAGUUCAUGCCAAGGCCAUGAUUCCCAGGUGAUCCUUCCAGGCAGUGACUGCAUAUGGUGGGCAUUAUAAGCUGAGAUGGAGUAACAGAGACCAGACUGAACCUUCCCAGCUGAAACAACUAAAAAGACAAGACAAAAUACAUGAAAGAAUGGUUCUUGAGUCACUGAACAUCACACAGUGAAGGACAGUGAUGGCUGAGAGAUGAGAAACAAACAAGCUUACAAUCUGAAGGUGUCCGUUCCUACACUGGUCAGACCACUGUCCUUGGGGCAGCUGGGGUCUUUGGGACCCUCCACCGGGCUCGCCGGUCCGUCGGACUUUUGGCUGAGAUCCGUGUCAGACUCCUCCGAAUAGUCGUCUGUUGGCAUCGAGGGCUGAACCCCUGAGGUGCUGCAUGAACUUGAGAGCGCGCUCUCGCACGCCAGGCAGUGGUAUGAGCCGCCGCCACUACCGCCGCCACCGCCGCUGCCGCUGCCGCCGCCGCCCGUGGGGACGUGAAGCACCAUCUCUUGCAGGUUCACCACAGACUGGCCGAAGAAGCAGAGGG